GUAGUUAUUAAAACAUUAGACAUGUGUUAACAAUCGAGAUAAUUCGCUACGAAUAAUGUUUAAGUCAUAACAGUUACGUACAAAAUACAAAUUCUUCCUCGUAACAAAUAAUGUUUACGACAGGGCUGCGUAUGGAACGCGUUCAAACUGUCAGUAUCGCGUCAACCAUCAGAAGCACAGCACAGGUGCAACUAAAUACGUAGUUCUUUGAGUUUUCAUUAAUAAUUCUUCUCGUCACAGUAUUAACGCAAGUUUGAGUAACUUCAAGAGCUAAGCGUUUAUUUUGUCGAAUCAAAUGUCUGGCGAGUCUGAACGCGCACGAUCGGAACACCGCCUCGGGACUCGUUACACGAACGUCGAUUAUAUAAUUUAUAUGAUACAGAUGUCUGUGUAUUAAUGUACUCGUAGGUCUCGUCUGUCGCUCUGUCCGUAACCUCGUACUAAUUCCACUUUCACUGCACUCUGUGCGUAUCGUAUUUUUUACACGCAAGUUUGAAGCCGAGCGAGAAAAAAAUAUAUGCAAUGUCUGCAACUGUUUAUUCGGAGACAGACUUCCAGAACAAUAUAAGGAGGAAACAAAGAAACGGAAGAGUGGGCCAGGAUUCAUAAGAGGUUCUGCUUCUAUUUAAGCCAGAAAAGUAACAACAUUUUUCUAUAGGAUGGCUCGUAUGAAACACCAAAAAGUAUCACAUACAUUUUUCUGCAUCCCGCAAUAAGACAGAAAACCGUCAGGCUCAGAUUGAAACAUGUGAACCGGCUGCAUCCCGUCUCCGAGAAAACCUUCCACGCAUGAAGGUAUCCCUAGUCUGAUGAACCAGUACUGAAGUCCAGGGUUCACACACGACCAUAGUUAGGAAACAAAACAGGAAAAAAUACAGAUUUGAAACAAACCCACUGGUCCCUCAGCCUACACCACAGACACUUCUCAUGGCACGCCGCCUACAUCUAGAUGUCGGUUACAAAGACCAAAGACCAAAGUGUGUCCAGGAGCGAUUCGACAAAAUAUAAUAAUUUUCUCAUUUCCUACAAAUCAUGUGAGAUGUCCGAUUUGAAUAAAAUAUUAUAAUGUG